GCAACGAGCGCACCCCUAUCCUUAGUUGCCAGCACGUAAUGGUGGGAACUCUGGGGAGACUGCCGGUGAUAAACCGGAGGAAGGUGGGGAUGACGUCAAGUCAUCAUGGCCCUUAUGGGGAGGGCUACACACGUGCUACAAUGGCCGGUACAGAGGGCAGCGAAGCCGCGAGGUGGAGCGAAUCCCAGAAAACCGGUCGUAGUCCGGAUUGCAGUCUGCAACUCGACUGCAUGAAGCCGGAAUCGCUAGUAAUCGCGGAUCAGAACGCCGCGGUGAAUACGUUCCCGGGCCUUGUACACACCGCCCGUCACACCAUGGGAGUGGGCUGUACCAGAAGUAGGUAGUCUAACCUUCGGGAGGACGCUUACCACGGUGUGGUUCAUGACUGGGGUGAAGUCGUAACAAGGUAGCCCUAGGGGAACCUGGGGCUGGAUCACCUCCUUU
rnacentral:rRNA from 1 species